CUCAGAUUCUCUUUUACCCACUUCUGUGAAAGUGCUGUCUGUUUCGAGAAGAAAGAACCAAAAGCAUCGCUGAGGCAUCGAAAGACAGACGACGGAGACAGACCACUAACAGCAUUCACACAUUGUAGAGGGUGACUUCAUACAUAGUCUUGCCAUUUCCUGGUGUAGGCCAAUCAGGGAGAAAAAUACUAACAUCGGCCACUUCAAGGACAAGAACUUGAUUUAUUUAUCUUCUUCUACACAACAGUUGACUUUUUUUUAGCUUAAGGUGGAUUUUUGUGCAGCGCAAACAUAAAAAUGGAAAUGUUUUGGGCCACAUUCGGAUUCACAGCUUCAACUGACCUGGAUGAAAAUGCCAAAGCACGUUUGGAGACAUUUAGGAGGCUUUACGACCAACGUGAAGAUGGCCUUGGGCGAGAUUCUAAGUGCUUUGUACAGGCAGCUGCUGGAGAUGAUGCAAAUCUGGAGGGUUCUCGGAACGAGAUGGUCAAUGCUCCGUUUGUUUGGUUGGGAGGCACUUUUAGUGGAACUUUUGGAGGCAUUAUUGGUGCAACAUGUGCCACUUUUGGAGCGGUUUGUGCAAUGAGUUACUCCAGACUUUGUGGAGAUGUUGAUACAGCUAGUGCAACUGUUGGCUUUGUGAGCAGCAUAUUUGGGGGAGUAGUGGGAGGAGCAUUUGCCGGUGCAGCUGGUGGGUCGGUGAAUGUGGCAGCUUUAGUAAAAGGUAGAGAAGAUUAUGGCUUUUUUGGCGAAGUGUUAUGUUUCACUGUUGGCUGGGCAAUCGGUCACGGAAUCGGCCGCUGUUUUGGUCAGCAAGUAGGUGCAGCAGGUGGUGCUAUAGGUGGAGGAUUUGGGGCUUUGUAUGCAACAAGAGCCACAGUUCGUUUAAGUAGAAGUUUAAUCAAAUAUAAUUAUAAGAAAAAUGCAAAAGCAGAAACGAUGAGGAACACUAGGGGAGAUUUAGACAAAAGCUUCCAACCGCUGGUAAAAGAGUUGAAAACAAUCGAAAAGACUUGGAACAACAUGUUCUCCAGCGAUGCUGUGAAAGACGUCGCUGAUUAAAGUGCAAAGAUUCUGAGUGCUGUGACAGGGAUGGAGAAGUGUGUGACGAACAGUGGGCGGCAAACGGGUCAGAGUUCCUCUCCUGUAUUAAUGAAGCACCAAUCCCAGAAGAGCUGCAGAGGAUGAGCGAGGAAGAGGAGAAACUCUGUGGCUGUCGGUGAAACAGCAGCUCUGAACAUUUAUUGUUUAUAAUUAGCUGAUCGUUGGUUUUUUUGAGUUCCUAAAUUCUCUUUUCGAUUCAUUAAUUUUCUCCAAAAUGCUACAAUAUCAAAACUCAACCCUUUUCUUGUUAAACAUGUCAGUGGGAUUUUGGGAUGCUUUAACAACUGCUGUCAGAUUUUUGUGUAAUGUUGUUUAACUGCUGUUGUUCUUUCUACUUUGUGCUCUUUAUGAUGCUUUUUACCCCCACAGAGACGGGAUAUCCCUGCCCUCUCACAUACUGUUCAAAGAUGAAGCUAUAAAUUAAAUCUAUAAUGAUAUUUUUACACUUUUCUGGUUAACUUUUGCUCAUUAUGCCGUUGCUUCUUUUUACUCUGGUGUUCAGAGGCUUGUCUGAUGUCUCCUUAUUUGCCUUGUUGUGACCAUGUGGAAGUGACACAGUUUCACAGCAACAGGCCCGCCCUCCUACUGCACCUCGACUUCCUGAUUCCUCCUCUGAACACUCCCCAACUUCAAACGUUGCUUUCACUAUUUCUGUGCAAGUGCAGUCCAUUUUGUGAAGAAAGCACCAAAUGUAAUGGAAAUUCUUCUCUGUCAAGCUGACCUUACUUAAUGAAAGGCUACACAUUUUGUUAAUAGGCCUCCAAAGAUAUACCACAUGUUGAUGUACAGCAGAUUUCACACACUGCUCUGAAUUUGUUUGGUUAACAUAUCAGAUAAGUAACUCGUCUCUGUUGUUUUAAUAGUUUGUAAAGGGAUAAAA